rnacentral:rRNA from 1 species
GUGGUCGUGUUGUCGGCAAGGGCGCAUGGUGGAUGCCUUGGCAGACAGGACCGAUGAAGGACGCGUGGGGCCGCGAUAGGCCUCGGGGAGCCGCCGACAGGGCUUUGAUCCGAGGGUGUCCGAAUGGGGUAACCCGCCGGCUGUUAUGGGCCGGCACCGCAUUCGUGCGGGGGGUACGCAGGGAAGUGAAACAUCUCAGUACCUGCAGGAAAGGAUAUUCCGUGAGUAGUGGCGAGCGAAAGCGGAUGAUGGCCAAACCGGUGCCGUGUGAGACCCGUCGGGGGUUGCGGCAUGGGUGUUGUGGGACUUGGCGUCCGGGCUCCGACGGGCCCGGCGGCAGUGAUAAAGCGGCGUGUGAGGCGAACGGGAUUGAAUUCCCGGCCGUAGAGGGUGAUGGCCCCGUAGCCGAAGGCGCGCCGCCUCCCGGUUCUUGUUCCCAAGUAGCGCGGGACUCGUGGAAUCCCGUGUGAAUCGGCCCCGACCGUGGGGUAAGCCUGAAUAUUCCUGUCUGACCGAUAGCGUACGAGUACCGUGAGGGAAAGGUGAAAAGCACCCCGGGAGGGGAGUGAAAGAGUUUCUGAAACCGUGUGCCUACAAUCCGUCGGAGCCUUUCGGGGUGACGGCGUGCCUAUCGAAAAAUGAGUCUGCGAGUCAGUGGUGCGUGGCGAGGCUAACCCGUGUGGGGCAGCCGUAGCGAAAGCGAGUCCGAUAAGGGCGUU